CGAGUCGACUCGAGUGGGCCAAGUUGAAAAAUUAGCUCCAUGGACUUCAUGGGAUGAGCCGACUCCGAAAAUGGCAAGUCAGCUCCAGAAGUUGGCGAGUCGACUCCGGGUUAAGUCGAGUCGACUCCCAGUCGCGGAGGUCACUUUAAUUCAAAUCCGGAACAGUUGCCGAGCCGACUCCAGAAAAGCAUAGUCGACUCCCUCUACAGCCGAGUCGACUCCAGAUCGCGCGAGUCGACUCCGACCCCAACGGACAUAUUGUCAGGA
rnacentral:lncRNA from 1 species